UACGAAGGGGGGCUAGCGUUGCUCGGAAUCACUGGGCGUAAAGGGCGCGUAGGCGGCUGUGACAGUCAGAUGUGAAAUUCCUGGGCUCAACCUGGGGGGCUGCAUUUUGAUACGUGAUGGCUGGAGUGGGGGAAGAGGGUCGUGGAAUUCCCAGUGUAGAGGUGAAAAUUCGUAGAUAUUCGGAAGAACACCAGUGGCGAAGGCGGCUAACUGGCCCAUUACUGACGCUGAGGCUCGAAAAGCGUGGGGGAGCAAACAGG
rnacentral:rRNA from 1 species